AGAGGCCCUCCGCAGCCAGGGUGGAACGCUUGCCUCGUCGCCACGGCGAUGAAGCAAGCAUUCCACCAGGCUGCUCAUGCUGCCUGC
rfam:Myotis lucifugus cont2.13280, whole genome shotgun sequence.